rnacentral:tRNA from 1 species
GGCCCGUUAGCUCAGCUGGUUAGAGCGUCGUGCUAAUAACGCGAGGUCGCGGGUUCGAUCCCUCACGGGCCA